UACGAAGGGAGCUAGCGUUGUUCGGAAUCACUGGGCGUAAAGCGCACGUAGGCGGAUGUGUCAGUCAGGGGUGAAAUCCCGGAGCUCAACUUCGGAACUGCCCUCGAUACAGCACGUCUUGAGUCCGGAAGAGGUGGGUGGAAUUCCUAGUGUAGAGGUGAAAUUCGUAGAUAUUAGGAAGAACACCGGUGGCGAAGGCGGCCCACUGGUCCGGUACUGACGCUGAGGUGCGAAAGCGUGGGGAGCAAACAGG
rnacentral:rRNA from 1 species